rnacentral:rRNA from 1 species
GCGCGAAAACUUUACAAUGCGGGAAACCGUGAUAAGGGAACUCCGAGUGCCCGUAAAAUCGGGCUGUCCAUCUGUUUAAAUAACAGGUGAAGAAAGGGCCGGGCAAGACCGGUGCCAGCCGCCGCGGUAAUACCGGCGGCUCGAGUGGUGGCCACUAUUACUGGGCUUAAAGCGUUCGUAGCUGGUCUGUUAAGUCUCUGGGGAAAUCUACUGGCUUAACCAAUAGGCGUUUCAGGGAUACUGGCAGACUAGGGACCGGGAGAGGUGAGAGGUACUCCAGGGGUAGGAGUGAAAUCCUGUAAUCCUUGGGGGACCACCUGUGGCGAAGGCGUCUCACCAGAACGGCUCCGACAGUGAGGGACGAAAGCUGGGGGAGCAAACCGG